rnacentral:rRNA from 1 species
CCUACGGGAGGCUGCAGUGGGGAAUAUUGCACAAUGGGGGAAACCCUGAUGCAGCGACGCCGCGUGUAUGAUGAAGGACUUCGGUUUGUAAAGCUCUUUUAGCAGGGAAGAAAAUGACGGUAUCUGACGAAUAAGCCCCGGCUAACUCCGUCCCAGCAGCCGCGGUAAUACGGAGGGGGCAAGCGUUAUCCGGAUUUACUGGGUGUAAAGGGAGCGUAGGCGGCUUUGCAAGUCUGAAGUGAAAGGCUGUAGCUCAACCACCGAACUGCUCUGGAAACUGUGCGGCUAGAGUGCAGGAGAGGUAGGUGGAAUUCCUGGUGUAGCGGUGAAAUGCGUAGAUAUUAGGAGGAACACCAAUGGCGAAGGCGGCAUACUGGACCAUGACUGACGCUGAGGCACGAAAGCGUGGGGAGCAAACAGGAUUAGAUACCCCAGUAGUC